rnacentral:rRNA from 1 species
UGGGGCUACGGGAGGCAGCAGUGGGGAAUAUUGCACAAUGGGCGAAAGCCUGAUGCAGCAACGCCGCGUGAGUGAUGAAGGCCUUCGGGUCGUAAAACUCUGUCCUCAAGGAAGAUAAUGACGGUACUUGAGGAGGAAGCCCCGGCUAACUACGUGCCAGCAGCCGCGGUAAUA